rnacentral:tRNA from 1 species
GGCUCGAUGGUGAAGUGGUUAACACGGCGGUCUGCAAAACCGCUACGCGUUGGUUCGAAUCCAGCUCGAGCCU